UACGAAGGGGGCUAGCGUUGUUCGGAAUUACUGGGCGUAAAGGGCGCGUAGGCGGUGUGUCAAGUCAGGCGUGAAAGCCCCGGGCUCAACCUGGGAACCGCGCUUGAGACUGGCACGCUCGAGUUCGGGAGAGGAUGGUGGAAUUCCCAGUGUAGAGGUGAAAUUCGUAGAUAUUGGGAAGAACACCGAUGGCGAAGGGCAGCCAUCUGGACCGACACUGACGCUGAGGCGCGAAAGCGUGGGGAGCAAACAGG
rnacentral:rRNA from 1 species